AAAGUGUCUGUGGGGCUCAAGUUUGAGUUGAAACCAGGCGCAGGGUCCACCUGUCCUCGCUGAUCCGUGGAUUUCUGUGUGACCAGCUGACACCUAUGGAGCUGUGGCCCUGACUACUACCAGCUUGCUCAUCCCUCUACUCACACAGUCACCCCUCCCCUCACUCUCAUUUAUGCUUCACCUGUG